rnacentral:rRNA from 1 species
GAAUCCUGCCUAGCAGAAUGACCAGAGAACUCGUAACGAACUCAAUGGGGACGUUGGGAUUUUUUCUCAUCGUCCUUCGACGUCGGGAUCGCACGGGCGCCUAGAGCGCUCGAGCUUUUUCCCGACGGCACAACGAACCCCGGCGCGGAAUGCGCCAAGGAACUUGAACAAGAGAGCGAUGCUCCCACCAUCCCAAACAUGGUGCGUGCGUGGGAUGCCAUGCAAUCUCCUAUUUAUUCAUAACGACUCUCGGCAACGGAUAUCUCGGCUCUCGCAUCGAUGAAGAACGUAGCGAACUGCGAUACUUGGUGUGAAUUGCAGAAUCCCGUGAACCAUCGAGUCUUUGAACGCAAGUUGCGCCCGAAGCCAUUCGGUUGAGGGCACGUUUGCCUGGGUGUCACACACGGCGUUGCCCCCAAUCCCUCGCCCUGUAUUGGGUGGGCAGGAUCGGGGUGCGUAUGUUGGCCUCCCGCGACGACUCAGUCUCGGUUGGCCCAAAAUCGAGCGCUGGAGCGAUUAGCACCACGACAUUCGGUGGUUGUUGAAACCCCAAUGAACAAAUGUCAUGCGUGCCCGCUCGAUGUGAGCGCUCCACGAAUCUACUCUUCACCAAC